rnacentral:lncRNA from 1 species
AAUAAAGAAGCGGCGUUCCUAGGUGCUUGAGUUUCCGAUGAGACACAAGACUGAAGAGGAAAACUGAUCUCCCCCAAAGACAUAGAAUAAUUGGUAAAUCUGGACGAGAACACAGGCUCAUAACUGCGAAGAGCAAGGAUUUUUAUAUUACUCUUAUAGGAAAGAGACCGAAAGGAGAUGCCCAAAGUCAAAAGAAGCCGGAAAGCACCUCCAGAUGGCUGGGAGCUGAUCGAGCCAACGUUGGAUGAACUAGAUCAAAAGAUGAGAGAAGCUGAAACUGAACCCCAUGAGGGGAAGAGGAAGGUGGAGUCUCUGUGGCCCAUCUUCAGGAUCCAUCACCAGAAAACCCGCUACAUCUUCGACCUCUUUUACAAGAGGAAAGCCAUAAGCAGAGAACUCUAUGAAUACUGCAUUAAAGAAGGCUAUGCAGACAAAAACCUGAUUGCGAAGUGGAAGAAGCAGGGCUAUGAGAAUCUAUGCUGUCUACGCUGCAUCCAGACUCGAGACACCAACUUCGGCACCAACUGCAUUUGCCGGGUUCCCAAGAGCAAGCUGGAAGUGGGUCGCAUCAUCGAGUGCACGCACUGUGGCUGCCGGGGUUGCUCUGGUUGACUGACGCCCCUGACUCCUCUGCAUCUUGGACUUUGGACCUUGGGCUCCUGCUUAUUGGGCCACUGCCUCCUGAAGCAACUCUUCUCAGAGUGGCACUCAGAGAAAAGACCCAGGGGAAGCAUGAGCUCUACAGGUGACAGCUUUAGUGUUCACCAGCUGAGAUCUGUAAAAAUAAAACCUUUAGACCUCUU